CAGCAGCCACGGUAAUACGAAGGGUGCAAGCGCUACUCGGAAUUACUGGGCGUAAAGCGUGCGUAGGUGGUGGUUUAAGUCCGUUGUGAAAGCCCUGGGCUCAACCUGGGAAUUGCAGUGGAUACUGGAUCACUAGAGUGUGGUAGAGGAUAGUGGAAUUUCCGGUGUAGCAGUGAAAUGCGUAGAUAUCGGAAGGAACAUCUGUGGCGAAGGCGACUAUCUGGGCCAACACUGACACUGAGGCACGAAAGCGUGGGGAGCAAACAGGAUUAGAUACCCCAGUAGUCCCUGUCUCUUAUAC
rnacentral:rRNA from 1 species